UACGUAGGGUCCGAGCGUUGUCCGGAAUUAUUGGGCGUAAAGGGCUCGUAGGCGGUUUGUCGCGUCGGGAGUGAAAACCUACAGCUUAACUGUGGGCUUGCUUUCGAUACGGGCAGACUUGAGGCAUGCAGGGGAGAACGGAAUUCCUGGUGUAGCGGUGAAAUGCGCAGAUAUCAGGAAGAACACCAAUGGCGAAGGCAGCUCUCUGGGACGGUACUGACGCUGAGACGCGAAAAGCGUGGGGAGCGAACAGG
rnacentral:rRNA from 1 species